AUAAAAAUAUUAUCCAGAAAAAUUGUUAAAGAUGGGGACUGACUCGGGGAGACUGAAACACUAUAGUUGUACAUACAAUCAUAGGCGGUCCUACGAGUGCAACCUCUGCAGCCUGUGCUACAUCUGACAUUUCAACCGCCACAUUUUUUUUUAUUGUAUAUCAUUACACAACACGCAGUGGAGUAAAGUAAGAUUUAACCAAGAAUCAUUACAAAUUGUCGAUUCAAUUGGAAUUAUGGUGAAAUUAGAAACUGGUGAAAAUAUAUCAUAUAAAUGUUUAAAAGAACAAUUUGAUAUAUGUGAAGAUGAUUUGUGCACAGAAAUAAAAUUAUUACAAAAUAUGCCAGAUAUUCCAAAUGGUACUUCACUUCAAACAAUUCAUGAAUGGUUAGAUUGGUUGCAAGAUUCUAAUAAAAUUGAAAUUUUUUCAAACUUUUCUAAAGCUACACAAUUAUUUGUAACUAUACCUGUUACAAGUUGCAGUUGUGAACGCAGCUGCUCGAAAAUGACUAUUCUUAAAAAUAAACUUCGAACAACAAUGACCCAAAAAGAUUGGAUUCACUGAUGUUAUUAUUUGUUGAACAGCAUAAAACAAACAAUGUGGAUAUUGAUAAGGUCAUCGACGAAUUUAAAAUACUAAAUGGCAUAACACGUAGA